UAAGGUAUUGAUUCAUCUAAGUCUAUGGA
rnacentral:sRNA from 1 species